GCCAACCAGCGCCUGUCUCUGAACAGCCAAUGAACACGCGUCUUACAGCCAAGGCCAGGUCCGGAGCGAGGCUGCGGCGAGUGCGGCGCUGACAGAGACGCGCGCGCGCGCGAUCGCGCUGGGACCCCGGCCGCUGCCGCCAUCACCGCCGCCCGCCCAGUCUCCCCUCAGCCGCUUCCCCUCGCCAUGGAGGCGAGGCCGCCGCCGCCGCCGCGGGGCUCGGAGCCGCGGGCCGGGCGGCGGCCCUGAGGGCGAGUGGCGGCCCGAAACGCCGCCGCGGAGCCGAGGCGGAGCCGCUCUCCUCGUCCCCAGCGGUCCCGCCCAACGCCAGACUCUGUGACACAACCAAAAAAAAAGAUAUUUCUGGAAUUCCAGUGAGUGGUAAUGGAUGAUGCAGUUCAAAUAACUAAGGACACAUGUUCAAAGAGCAUAAUUAACUUUUUAAAAGAAGCUAAUGCUUAUUUGCCGUACUGUAUAUCUUCUUCGAUAAGCAUGGAUUCCUGGUUCACUCUUGUUCUGCUCGGCAGUGGUCUGAUAUGUGUCAGUGCCAACAAUGCUACCACAGUUGCACCUUCUGUAGGAAUUACAAGAUUAAUUAACUCAUCAACGGCAGAACCAGUUAAAGAAGAGGCCAAAACUUCAAAUCCAACUUCUUCACUAACUUCUCUUUCUGUGGCACCAACAUUCAGCCCAAAUAUAACUCUGGGACCCACCUAUUUAACCACUGUCAAUUCUUCAGACUCUGACAAUGGGACCACAAGAACAGCAAGCACCGAUUCUAUAGGCACUACAAUUUUACCAAAUGAAACGUGGCUUCCAGAUAACCAGUUCACGGAUGCCAGAACAGAACCCUGGGAGGGGAAUUCCAGCACUGCAGCAACCACUCCAGAAGCUUUCCCUCCUUCAGGUAAUUCUGACUCGAAGGACAGAAGAGAUGAGACACCAAUUAUUGCGGUGAUGGUGGCCCUGUCCUCUCUGCUAGUGAUCGUGUUUAUUAUCAUAGUUUUGUACAUGUUAAGGUUUAAGAAAUACAAGCAAGCUGGGAGCCAUUCCAAUUCUUUCCGCUUAUCCAACGGCCGCACUGAGGAUGUGGAGCCCCAGAGUGUGCCACUUCUGGCCAGAUCCCCAAGCACCAACAGGAAGUACCCACCCCUGCCCGUGGACAAGCUGGAAGAGGAAAUUAACCGGAGAAUGGCAGACGACAAUAAGCUCUUCAGGGAGGAAUUCAACGCUCUCCCUGCAUGUCCUAUCCAGGCCACCUGUGAGGCUGCUUCCAAGGAGGAAAACAAGGAAAAAAAUCGAUAUGUAAACAUCUUGCCUUAUGACCACUCUAGAGUCCACCUGACACCAGUCGAAGGGGUUCCAGAUUCUGAUUACAUCAAUGCUUCAUUCAUCAACGGCUACCAAGAAAAGAACAAAUUCAUUGCUGCACAAGGACCAAAAGAAGAAACGGUGAAUGAUUUCUGGAGGAUGAUCUGGGAACAAAACACAGCCACCAUCGUCAUGGUUACCAACCUGAAGGAGAGAAAGGAGUGCAAGUGCGCCCAGUACUGGCCAGACCAAGGCUGCUGGACCUAUGGGAAUAUUCGGGUGUCUGUAGAGGAUGUGACUGUCCUGGUAGACUACACAGUACGGAAGUUCUGCAUCCAGCAGGUGGGCGACAUGACCAACAGAAAGCCACAGCGCCUCAUCACUCAGUUCCACUUUACCAGCUGGCCAGACUUUGGGGUGCCUUUUACCCCGAUCGGCAUGCUCAAGUUCCUCAAGAAGGUGAAGGCCUGUAACCCUCAGUAUGCAGGGGCCAUCGUGGUCCACUGCAGUGCAGGUGUAGGGCGUACAGGUACCUUUGUCGUCAUUGAUGCCAUGCUGGACAUGAUGCAUACAGAACGGAAGGUGGACGUGUAUGGCUUUGUGAGCCGGAUCCGGGCACAGCGCUGCCAGAUGGUGCAAACGGAUAUGCAGUAUGUCUUCAUAUACCAAGCCCUUCUGGAGCAUUAUCUCUAUGGAGAUACAGAACUGGAAGUGACCUCUCUAGAAACCCACCUGCAGAAAAUUUACAACAAAAUUCCAGGAACCAGCAACAAUGGAUUAGAGGAGGAGUUUAAGAAGUUAACAUCAAUCAAAAUCCAGAAUGACAAGAUGCGGACUGGAAACCUUCCAGCCAACAUGAAGAAGAACCGUGUUUUACAGAUCAUUCCAUAUGAAUUCAACAGAGUGAUCAUUCCAGUUAAGCGGGGCGAAGAGAAUACAGACUAUGUGAAUGCAUCCUUUAUUGAUGGCUACCGGCAGAAGGACUCCUAUAUCGCCAGCCAGGGCCCUCUUCUCCACACAAUUGAGGACUUCUGGCGAAUGAUCUGGGAGUGGAAAUCCUGCUCUAUCGUGAUGCUAACAGAACUGGAGGAGAGAGGCCAGGAGAAGUGUGCCCAGUACUGGCCAUCCGAUGGACUGGUGUCCUAUGGAGAUAUUACAGUGGAACUGAAGAAGGAGGAGGAAUGUGAGAGCUACACCGUCCGAGACCUCCUGGUCACCAACACCAGGGUAAGAUGGGUGGUGGGUGGACUCUGCCCCCAGGAAAAGCAGGGUUACCCCUGCCUGCCUGAUCCCCUUUCUUCCAAAGGAGAAUAAGAGCCGGCAGAUCCGGCAGUUCCACUUCCAUGGCUGGCCUGAAGUGGGCAUCCCCAGUGACGGAAAGGGCAUGAUCAGCAUCAUCGCCGCCGUGCAGAAGCAGCAGCAGCAGUCAGGGAACCACCCCAUCACCGUGCACUGCAGCGCUGGUGCAGGAAGGACGGGGACCUUCUGUGCCCUGAGCACCGUCCUGGAGCGUGUGAAAGCAGAGGGGAUUUUGGAUGUCUUCCAGACUGUCAAGAGCCUACGGCUACAGAGGCCACACAUGGUCCAGACACUGGAACAGUAUGAGUUCUGCUACAAGGUGGUGCAGGAAUAUAUUGAUGCAUUCUCAGAUUAUGCCAACUUCAAGUAAGCGGCAACAAGCGUCCGUGGACCAGGAGGAUUGCCUUUAAUAUUUUGUAAUAUUCUGUUUUGUUAAUAUACCCCAAAUUGUGUAUAUAUCUUAUAACUGUUUUAGAAAUUGGUACAUAGGCUUCUAUUACCUAUUAGGUGGAAAUUUUAUAUGUAAAUGUGUUAGCACUGAUAGUCCUUUUUCCAAUGUUUUAUUGGGGAAUUAAAUAGUGUGAUGUUUGGACUGAUAUCGUGAAAUCCUCAGCCAGGAAAUUGGGCUGGAUUGUGCUUUGGUUAAUAUAUCUUUCCCUAAAGAAGAUAAACAUAAAAUCCAUUCCAGGUAGCUCGGCACCAACUAAGAAAAAAAGCACAAAGUACUCAGAGCUCUAGAGGAAAGUGGUUGUCCCCAUACCAUCAUGCACUGUAAAUAUCCCUCCCCUCUGUCCCUGGUCCCCUCCCCCAUCCCCACCACCUAUAUCAUGGGAGUAAUAGGACCAGAGCGGUAUCUCUGGCACCACACUAGGGACUAUCAGGUAAUAAAAGCUUUGACUCCCUGA